rnacentral:lncRNA from 1 species
CGACCAAUGGUGCGAGUCUCAGCGGCCGAUAUUCGACAACACAUCACUAAAAAGAGAGCAGUGACUGGUGCCGGACUAUCCCAAGCAGUGAAGAAGAGUCGGGUCAACACAGAGUCGACAUCAAUGAGGGAGACCAAUAUUCCGUCGAUAAUCAUUUUUGAAGUUGAGCUUGUCAUUGCAUUGUCUACUUCAACAGUGCUUCCACUGGUCGAUGCAUCGCCUAUUCGGAGGGAAAUCGACCAAAGAUGGUGAGGUCAUGGCCAUC